rnacentral:tRNA from 1 species
CAAAACGUAGCUUAAUAAUAAAGCCUCUAGCUUACACCUAGAAGAUAUCAUAUAUAAAUGAUUGUUUUG